ACGGAAGGCAGCAGUGGGGAAUAUUGCACAAUGGGGGAAACCCUGAUGCAGCGACGCCGCGUGAGUGAAGAAGUAUUUCGGUAUGUAAAGCUCUAUCAGCAGGGAAGAGAAUGACGGUACCUGACUAAGAAGCACCGGCUAAAUACGUGCCAGCAGCCGCGGUAAUACGUAUGGUGCAAGCGUUAUCCGGAUUUACUGGGUGUAAAGGGAGCGUAGGUGGUAAGGCAAGCCAGAAGUGAAAACCCGGGGCUCAACCGCGGGAUUGCUUUUGGAACUGUCAUACUGGAGUGCAGGAGGGGUGAGUGGAAUUCCUAGUGUAGCGGUGAAAUGCGUAGAUAUUAGGAGGAACACCGGUGGCGAAGGCGGCUCACUGGACUGUAACUGACACUGAGGCUCGAAAGCGUGGGGAGCAAACAGGAUUAGAUACCCUGGUA
rnacentral:rRNA from 1 species